UAAUAGUUCUUGUUCUUGCAGAGACAAAAAACUUACAAGAAGUAGACAUUUUGAAGUCUUAUUUUUCAGGAGUUAUGUUCAGAAAGGCUCUCAGAGGCAUUAUGUAAACUCGAUACACGUUUCUAGUAAUGUACAGGUUAUGCUGUCUGUAGCAAGGAUUGCCGGACAGAACAGGAUUUGCUAGCAGAGCAAAGUGCUACAAUAAGGAAGUCAAUUCCAGCUGUUAGAUAAACAAGAAGGGAUACAGAAGCAUUUUUCAAAAAUGAAACAUUCUAUAGAUGACACAUUUAUUUUCAGAGCAGGAAAUACUUACUGCCUGAUGGUGUUCUUUCAGGCCUGCCGCUUUGCCAGAUGCGAGCUGAUUCAUGGGUGGCCGUUGUUCAUUAUACCCAUAAUUGGGAAGUGACAUUGUUUUUGGCUUAGAAACCAGAACAAUUCCACAGUGUAUCCAAUCAAACACCAGACAGUUGUUGAAGUAGCAUUUUCCCUUCAGAAAGUGAGUCCUUUUAUCACUUUUUGAUGAACUGAUGUCUCGUAUUUUAACAAGAUAUGCCAGUCUAUCUGUUUUAUUGGGAUGCACAUCGUUUUGGACAAGUGGGUGCCUUUCAAUUGUAGUUAUUUUGAAGCUGAUUAAGGGACAUGGAAACUGUGUGUCUUGCAGUGCAAUAUCCUAGGAAGAAUUUUUGAUUUUGCAAAGUAGUGCCAAAUAGUUCUGCUCACCUUACUCUCUAUUGCUUUAGGACAGAUAGUAAUUGGAGAGUUUGAAGUCUUUUCCCCAGCUAAAAGUGGACCACAGCACAUUGACAGCAAACAGUUGCCAGCCCAGGUGCUGUAGGAGACGGAGCACCUCCAGACUGUCUCUGUCCCGUAGCUGUAGCUGCCCUGACGGUGUCACCUCUAUCAGCUGAAGCAAAAGCUUGGCUGAAGGUGAGGCUGGUGAGGAAAUGCUAGUGGAGGGACAAACUUCUUUGAACAAAGGCCUCUAGACCCAAGUUAAACCCAGCAGUGGU